GAUGAACGCUGGCGGCGUGCUUAAUACAUGCAAGUCGAGCGAACAGACGAGGAGCUUGCUCCUCUGACGUUAGCGGCGGACGGGUGAGUAACACGUGGAUAACCUACCUAUAAGACUGGGAAAAUCUCGGGAAACCGGAGCUAAUACCGUAUAAUAUAUUGAACCGCAUGGUGCAAUAGUGAAAGACGGUUUUGCUGUAACUUAUAGAGGGAUCCGCGCCGCAUUAGCUAGUUGGUAAGGUAACGGGUUACCAAGGCAACGAUGCGUAGCCGACCUGAGAGAGUGGUCGGCCGCCUUAGAGCGGAGACAGGGUCCAGGCGCCUGCGAGACGCAGCAGUAGGGUAUCUGCCGCAGUGGGCGAAAGCCUGGCGGAGCAACGCGGCGUGAGUGAUGAAGGCGUUCGGAGCGUGAAACUCUGUUAUUAGGGAUGAACAAAUGUGUAAGGAGCUGUGCACGGAUUGACGGUACCUGAUCAGAAAGCCACGGCUAACUACGUG
rnacentral:rRNA from 1 species